rnacentral:rRNA from 1 species
UCGCCAGACUCCUACGGGAGGCAGCAGUGAGGAAUAUUGGUCAAUGGCCGAGAGGCUGAACCAGCCAAGUCGCGUGAGGGAAGACGGCCCUACGGGUUGUAAACCUCUUUUGUCGGGGAGCAAAGCGAACCACGUGUGGUUCAUUGAGAGUACCCGAAGAAAAAGCAUCGGCUAACUCCGUGCCAGCAGCCGCGGUAAUACGGAGGAUGCGAGCGUUAUCCGGAUUUACUGGGUGUAAAGGGCGUGUAGCCGGGAAGGCAAGUCAGAUGUGAAAUCCGGAGGCUCGACCUCCGAAUUGCAUUUGAAACUGUUUUUCUUGAGUACUGGAGAGGCAGACGGAAUUCCUUGUGUAGCGGUGAAAUGCGUAGAUAUUAGGAGGAACACCGGUGGCGAAGGCGGCUUACUGGACCGUAACUGACGUUGAGGCUCGAAAGCGUGGGGAGCAAACAGGAUUAGAUACCCUGGUAGG